rnacentral:rRNA from 1 species
AACGAACGCUGGCGGCAUGCCUUACACAUGCAAGUCGAACGGCAGCACGGGUGCUUGCACCUGGUGGCGAGUGGCGAACGGGUGAGUAAUACAUCGGAACGUACCUUAUCGUGGGGGAUAACGCAGCGAAAGCUGUGCUAAUACCGCGUACGCCCUGAGGGGGAAAGCGGGGGAUCGCAAGACCUCGCGCGAUUAGAGCGGCCGAUGCCUGAUUAGCUAGUUGGUGGGGUAAAAGCCCACCAAGGCGACGAUCAGUAGCUGGUCUGAGAGGACGAUCAGCCACACUGGGACUGAGACACGGCCCAGACUCCUACGGGAGGCAGCAGUGGGGAAUUUUGGACAAUGGGGGCAACCCUGAUCCAGCAAUGCCGCGUGAGUGAAGAAGGCCUUCGGGUCGUAAAGCUCUUUUGUCAGGGAAGAAACACCGGCUCUAACACAGUCCGGGAAUGACGGUACCUGAAGAAUAAGCACCGGCUAACUACGUGCCAGCCGCCGCGGUAA